GUGUCAGCCGCCGCGGUAAAACGUAGGACACAAGCGUUAUCCGGAAUUACUGGGCGUAAAGGGCGUGCAGGCGGUUGAAUAAGUUAGGCGUGAAAGACUUCGGCUAAACCGGGGGAGGUCGUCUGAUACUGUUCAACUAGAGUAUGGUAGAGGCGUGUAGAAUUCCGGGUGUAGUGGUGAAAUGCGUAGAGAUCCGGAGGAAUACCAGUGGCGAAGGCGGCACGCUGGGCCAUUACUGACGCUAAAACGCGAAAGCAUGGGUAGCGAACGGGAUUAGAAACCCUAGUAGUCC
rnacentral:rRNA from 1 species